CCUACGGGGGGCAGCAGUGAGGAAUAUUGGUCAAUGGACGAGAGUCUGAACCAGCCAAGUAGCGUGAAGGAUGACUGCCCUAUGGGUUGUAAACUUCUUUUAUAUGGGAAUAAAAUGUUCCAUGUGUGGGAUUUUGUAUGUACCAUAUGAAUAAGGAUCGGCUAACUCCGUGCCAGCAGCCGCGGUAAUACGGAGGAUCCGAGCGUUAUCCGGAUUUAUUGGGUUUAAAGGGAGCGUAGGUGGAUUGUUAAGUCAGUUGUGAAAGUUUGCGGCUCAACCGUAAAAUUGCAGUUGAAACUGGCAGUCUUGAGUACAGUAGAGGUGGGCGGAAUUCGUGGUGUAGCGGUGAAAUGCUUAGAUAUCACGAAGAACUCCGAUUGCGAAGGCAGUUCACUGGACUGCAACUGACACUGAGGCUCGAAAGUGUGGGUAUCAAACAGGAUUAGAUACCCCUGUAGUC
rnacentral:rRNA from 1 species